GCCCUAAUUGGAAGGUGUCAAUACCGCAUCAUUGGUAAUGACAACAUGUGAGUAACCCUCAUAUAAUAGGUAACUCUAGCGAUAACGGUAGGAACCCUCACAUAAUAGGUUAAUCCACCUCAUCUACACUUAUAUGGCAAGGUACGAUAUCUCAACCUAUGUUGACUACAUAGUUCUGGAAUACAAGGAUUGCUUCUAGGAAUGACACCCCC
rnacentral:lncRNA from 1 species